AACGAACGCUGGCGGCAUGCCUAACACAUGCAAGUCGAACGAGAUCUUCGGGUCUAGGGGCGCACGUGUGCGUAACGCGUGGGAAGCUGCCCUUAGGUUCGGAAUAACUCCCCGAAGGGGGUGCUAAUGCCGGAUAAUGUCUUACGGCCAAGGAGUUAUCGCCUUUGGAUGGGCGCUCGUUGGAUUAGCUAGUUGGUAGGGUAAAAGCAUACCAAGGGGACGAUGCAUAGCUGGUCGGAUAGGAUGAUCCGCCACACUGGGACUGAGACACGGCCCAGACUCCUACGGGAGGGAGCAGUAGGGAAUAUUGGACAAGGGGCGAAAGCCUGAUAAAGCAAUGCCGCGUGAGUGAUGAAGGCGUUAGGGUUGUAAAGCUGUUUUACCCGGGAUGAGAAUGACAGUACCGGGAGAAGAAGCACCGGCUAACUCCGUG
rnacentral:rRNA from 1 species